GCACAGGUGGAGUUUGGGCGACUGCGCACGCGCGGCUGGUUAUAAACAACUUGUGAAAUGAGUGAUUUGGAAGAUGAUGAGACACCCCAGCUUUCUGCCCAUGCCUUAGCAGCUCUCCAGGAAUUUUAUGCUGAGCAAAAGCAACAAAUUGAGCCAGGCGAGGAUGAUAAAUACAACAUUGGAAUAAUAGAAGAGAAUUGGGUAAGUAAAUGCAUUUCACAACCAUCAGGAAGUAUUGAUGUGGAACCUACUCUGUGCAUUAGUCCAGUGUUUGUCUGUCUCACCUAAAACCGGAAUCUCUGUCACCUGUCAUUUGGGAUCUGAACUUCUCUAUGGGGAGCUAAGACAGAAAGCAGUCAGUGAACAUUUUAGAACAGUGUAACAGCUUUCUUGAACAGCUGUUCUUGAUUCUGACUAUCAGGCUGG
rnacentral:sRNA from 1 species